GGAAUCUUCCACAAUGGACGCAAGUCUGAUGGAGCAAUGCCGCGUGAGUGAAGAAGGGUUUCGGCUCGUAAAGCUCUGUUGUUAAAGAAGAACGUGGGUAAGAGUAACUGUUUACCCAGUGACGGUAUUUAACCAGAAAGCCACGGCUAACUACGUGCCAG
rnacentral:rRNA from 1 species